CAGCCGCCACGGUAAUACGAAGGGGGCUAGCGUUGUUCGGAUUUACUGGGCGUAAAGCGCACGUAGGCGGAUCGAUCAGUCAGGGGUGAAAUCCUGGAGCUCAACUCCAGAACUGCCUUUGAUACUGUCGAUCUCGAGUCCGGAAGAGGUGAGUGGAACUCCUAGUGUAGAGGUGGAAUUCGUAGAUAUUAGGAAGAACACCAGUGGCGAAGGCGGCUCACUGGUCCGGUACUGACGCUGAGGUGCGAAAGCGUGGGGAGCAAACAGGAUUAGAUACCCCAGUAGUCCCUGUCUCUUAUAC
rnacentral:rRNA from 1 species